rnacentral:rRNA from 1 species
GGGGGCCCAGCAAUGGGCAACCGGCGAACGGGUGCGUAACACGUGAGCAACCUACCGAACUGUGGGGGAUAGCCGGCCUAACGGCCGAGUAAUACCGCAUACGCUCUCAGUGAGGCAUUUCAUUGAGAGGAAACCUACGGGACAGAUCGAGGGGCUCGCGGCCUAUCAGCUAGUUGGCGAGGUAACGGCUCACCAAGGCAACGACGGGUAGCUGGUCUGAGAGGAUGGCCAGCCACAUUGGGACUGAGAUACGGCCCAGACUCCUACGGGAGGCAGCAGUGGGGAAUCUUGCGCAAUGGCCUAACGGCUGACGCAGCGACGCCGCGUGUGGGAUGAAGCUCUUCGGA